rnacentral:misc_RNA from 1 species
UCAGUGCAGACACUCCUAAUGUCAGCUCCAGUAGAAUUUGGGCAAAGACGAGCAAGAAGCUCAAAACGGAUAUCUCUUUCACAGUUCAUAGUUCGUGUAUGGAUCUUAAAAAUCUGUGUCCUGCUCUCCAAAUCAGGUAGCCCAAACUCAACCUUACGAUCCAGUCUCCCUGGACGUAACAAUGCUGGGUCCAGUGUAUCAGGCCUGUUUGUUGCCAUUAAGACUUUAAUGUUUCCUCGAGCAUCAAAACCAUCAAGCUGAUUGACAAUUUCAAGCAUGGUACGUUGAACCUCAUUAUCUCCACCCACACCAUCAUCAAAUCGUGCACCACCUAUCGCAUCAACUUCAUCGAAAAAGACUAUACAAGCCUUCUUUGACCGUGCCAUCUGGAAAAGCUCCCGAACCAUGCGGGCACCCUCACCAACAUAUUUUUGAACUAGUUCACUUCCAAUAACACGGAUGAAACAUGCAUCAGUUCUGUUGGCGACAGCUCUAGCCAAAAGCGUUUUGCCAGUUCCAGGAGGACCAUAACACAAAACACCUUUAGGAGGAUCAAUCCCAAGCUUCACAAAUUUCUCUGGAUGAAGCAUGGGAAGCUCAACAACUUCUCGCAUCUUUUCUAUCUGCUCCUUACAUCCACCAACAUCAUUAUAUGUUACAUCAGGUUUUUCUUCUACGGUCAUCAUUGUAACACUUGGAUCAAUUUUUGGAGGCAAGGGAAUUUGAAUCUGAUAUUUGUUGCGAUCAACCCCCACUCGCAUUCCUUCUUCAAUAUCUGUAGGGGAGACUUUGUCACCAAGCCCAACCACAAACUUGGCAAUUUGUUUGACAUUUAUAACAUACUUGGCAUCCUCAGUAUUUGGGUUAAUUAUCUUAGUGCACCUUGCAACUUGAAGUGGCUGCUCCUCCUGCAUCAUUUGUUUAUCAGA